AUGUUCAAUCAGAAAGGAGGAGUCCAUGCAAACUCAGAUAUCUCCCCUCUACUUAUGAGACUGCAGAGAGGAGGACAGAGGACAGUGGACACACAGUUUAACAUGAUGGACUAUAGGACAGGACUGCUGCUGCUCACUGUCUGCUGGGCAGGUGUUGAUGGUCAGACUCUGACAGAAUCUGAACCAGUGACUAAAAGCCCUGGAGAUUCUCACAGAUUGACCUGUACAGCCUCUGGAUUCACAUUCAGUAGCUACGGGAUGGCCUGGGUCAGACAGGCUCCUGGAAAAGGACUGGAGUGGGUUGCGAUUAUAUAUAGCAGUGGUAGCAACUACUACUCUGAGUCAGUGAAAGGCCGCUUUACCAUCUCCAGAGACGACAACAGACAGCAGGUGUAUCUGCAGAUGAGCAGUCUGACGGCUGUAGACUCUGCUGUUUAUUACUGUGCUCGAGACACACAGUGA